AGUUACAUUACGUAUAUAGAUCACCACUUAGUAAACCGUCUGGGAAUAACAGGCACUCCGAAGGCCCCAGUCUCAUCCCGACGGCUACCACGUGACCUUCCUGAGCUUGGGUUUCCUCCUCGGGAAGAUUAGAGGGUUGGCGCAUACUCAACUCUAAGACCUCCGGAACAUGGAAUCUGGGCGUGCACCAUUAUUGACACCUACACCAGCCGUCCCUUUCUUAGAAGACAUACGGUAGCACUUCCACCCUCGCUCAAAACUCGGGAAAGGAGGGGCGGAGAGUGGAUGUCAUCACUCCGCGCCCGGCUGCCCGCGACGCGCCGGCGGGUGGCGCAGCCCUUCGCUCGCCCGGCCUCCCCCUCCCUGGUUCCGCGCUCUGGUUCCGCCAUGGAAUCCAACAAGGAUGAAGCUGAGCGCUGUAUCAGCAUCGCCCUCAAGGCCAUCCAGAUCAACCAGCCCGACCGGGCGCUCCGCUUCCUGGAGAAGGCACAGCGGCUGUAUCCGACGCCGCGAGUUCGCGCCCUGAUUGAGUCCCUCAACCAGAAACCACAGACUGCCGGUGACCAACCCCCACCCACAGACACAACCCAUGCCACCCACAGGAAAGCAGGUGGGACUGAUGCCCCCUCGGCCAACGGUGAAGCUGGAGGAGAGAGCACCAAAGGCUACACUGCAGAACAGGUUGCAGCUGUGAAAAGGGUCAAGCAAUGUAAAGAUUACUAUGAGAUCCUGGGGGUGAGCAGAGGGGCCUCGGAUGAGGACCUGAAGAAGGCCUACCGCAAACUGGCCCUCAAAUUCCACCCAGACAAGAACCACGCACCUGGUGCCACUGAAGCCUUCAAAGCCAUUGGCACAGCAUAUGCGGUACUCAGCAACCCGGAGAAGAGGAAGCAGUAUGACCAGUUCGGCGAUGACAAGAGCCAGGCGGCCCGGCACGGCCAUGGGCAUGGGGAUUUCCACCGCGGCUUUGAGGCCGACAUCUCCCCUGAAGACCUCUUCAACAUGUUCUUUGGCGGUGGCUUCCCUUCUAGUAACGUCCACGUCUACAGCAACGGCCGCAUGCGCUAUACCUACCAGCAAAGGCAGGACCGCAGGGACAACCAGGGUGAUGGCGGGCUAGGGGUGUUUGUGCAGCUGAUGCCUAUCCUCAUCCUGAUUCUCGUGUCAGCUCUCAGCCAGCUCAUGGUCUCCAGUCCACCCUACAGUCUGAGUCCAAGACCGUCCGUGGGCCACAUCCACAGGCGAGUCACUGACCACCUGGGUGUCGUCUACUAUGUGGGAGACACUUUCUCCGAGGAGUACACAGGCUCCAGCCUCAAAACAGUCGAGCGGAAUGUGGAAGAUGAUUAUAUCGCCAACCUCCGGAACAACUGCUGGAAGGAGAAGCAGCAGAAGGAAGGCUUGCUGUACCGGGCACGCUACUUUGGCGACACAGAUAUGUACCACAAAGCACAGAAGAUGGGCACCCCCAGCUGCAGCCGACUGUCAGAGGUGCAGGCCUCCCUGCAUGGAUAGUCCUGGGCCAGCCACACCACCGAGGUCCAAGUAUGAGCCAGGGCUGCCUCCACCCUGCACCUCCUGGCAGCUUUGGCCCUGGUCAUGAGCAGAGGAGGGAGGGGGAGAAAGGGAGGAAGCCUGGUGAUUGUGGCAAAGACUCCUGUCCCCAGCCUGACCUCCAGCCUCCAGAGACCGAGCAGCUGUGGGGCCUGCUGGGAAACCAAGACUAUGAAAUCCCUGGAGAAUUUUUGGUGACAUGCACUGAGCCAAGGUGAUGGACUGUAUAUUUGAGGAAAGACAAACAAAGAAACAAAAUUAAAAUGGAAUUGGAGGCCGAACGCUGCACAGCUGCCCUCUCUCUCACCCAGUAAAUGCAGAAAGCUCUUAGGACAGACAGAAAACCUGCCAUGGGGCUGCUUCCCUCCCUCCCAGGGCUGGCGGAGGCUCCGCAUCGCCUCUCUCCUAGGAUACAGAAACCAUGGCAACGAAAGUAGAAUGUAAAACUUGCAGCAGAUAUCAGUGGGAAGGGCUGGGGGAGGGGGCGCCCAGCUGCCUUUCCUCCCUCACAGGAGCCACCACCAGCCACCUCUCAGGAGAAGCCAGAGGCCCUGGCCAAAGAUAGGAGGAAGAAAGAGAACUCUCCAUAGAAUGUAAUUUAUAGAUGCGUGUAUAUGUAUAUAUAUCUAUUUAUAUGUAAAUAGGCAUAUAUGAAGAUAUAUAUAUAUAGUCUACUUUUUAAACUCUGCAGGGAUUUGGUUAAGUUGUUGAGCUGAUUUCUUCCAUGUUUUAGAAAAUGAGGCCUGUUUGGGGAAGGUACCCUGGUGAUGUUUUUGCUAGACAUUAGCUGUAGCUGACAGCAUAAGGAGAGUCGCAUCAGAGCUUUUCACAGCCCCCCGAAACCCCAGCCUGGUUUUGAUGGCAGCAGUAAUCAUGAUAGUGUGAACCCGCGAAGGCCUCAGGAUUAUGGUUAACCUGGAGAGGAGCAGGCCGUGGAGGCAGGUGCCAGGUCAGUAUUGAGUCACAGUAGAGGCCCCACAAGGACCUGCUUGGGUGAGACCACCCCUCCCCUCUCAGCAGCGCUGGUGGGCUCUUUGUCCUGGUGCCCAGGAGCCCUCCAGCCUCACUGCCCACAGAAGGGAAGGCCUGCAGAGGGGGCCAGGAUCUACCUAAUCAUUUCCCCACCCCUAAGUCCCUCAGUGGGCUUUGCCUUAUAGGUGCCACAGGGCACAGCUCCAUCAUUGCCACUGGUUUUUCCUAAGUCAUGCACCAAGGACUUCAGAAAGUUCUUCCUCCGAGUCAGUCAGUGGUGCCGGGACCCCAGGGCAGCCUCCUCGACUCCUGAAGAAAAGUCAGUGCCCGUGGCUGCCUCUGUCUUCACCCGCUGUGGAUGUGACCGCCAGGCCUCCUCUUGUACCUUGGACAAAGGAUACACCUGAACCAGAAUAGUUUUCUUACCCUCACAUUGAAAUGAGGAUUUUGCUUAAAACAGCACUUGCUGCCAGUGGGAGGAGGGAGGUUUUAUUCCCACAGUUUCUCCUGGGCCUUCUGGAAUGACCAUGUUUUCCUGUGGCGGUGGGUGUGUCAUUGCGCCCGCCGUCUUCCAAAGCCUUACUUCCCCAAGCUGCCAGCCAGGAGGUGAUAACCACCCUCCCAGAGUUUCUCUCGGCUCUUUUUUUAAAAGUCCCCCAACAAAUAGGAUUCUUGCUGGGAAAGGAAGUUCGGUAAGGAAAUGUCAAAUCUGGUUUUUAAACAAGGUCCCACCCUGCAAUGAAGCAGCCACUUCAGCCCAGAGAGAUUAUAAGAACUGAUGUGGCCAGAGUGCCCACCCACUGUGGCCCUGGUGCUCUGCCCCCACGCCCCGACCAUCUGGUCUUGGUAGAUGUCCCUAGACGGGCUGAGCCAUGUGCAAUAAGAACAUAGAUCCUAAAGGAUCCCCUGGAAGCUGUAUUUCUUGAAUUAGAAUUCUCAAAUUGUACAUCUGUUAAUAUAUGUUUAUUAUGUGA